UUGUAUGUACUUUACGAAUAAGGAUCGGCUAACUCCGUGCCAGCAGCCGCGGUAAUACGGAGGAUCCGAGCGUUAUCCGGAUUUAUUGGGUUUAAAGGGUGCGUAGGCGGACCUGUAAGUCAGUGGUGAAAGUUUGCAGCUCAACUGUAAAAUUGCCAUUGAAACUAUUGGUCUUGAGUGUAAAUGAGGUAGGCGGAAUGUGUUGUGUAGCGGUGAAAUGCUUAGAUAUAACACAGAACACCAAUUGCGAAGGCAGCUUACUAGGAUACAACUGACGCUGAGGCACGAAAGCGUGGGGAUCAAACAGGAUUAGAUACCCUGGUAGUCCACGCAGUAAACGAUGAAUACUAGCUGUAUGCGAUAUAGUGUAUGUGGCAAAGCGAAAGCGUUAAGUAUUCCACCUGGGGAGUACGUUCGCAAGAAUG
rnacentral:rRNA from 1 species